UUUGUUUUUGUUUCAGAUACCAGCCCCAGGAUAUUUACGUCAGGACAGGUAACAUAUGCAUCGGAAAGUAAGUAUAUAUUUUUUUUAUUUAUUAAUAGUUGUCUGAUAGAUAUUAAAAUAAUUUGAAUAUGUAUUACAGAUAGACAGGAGACCAGAGAGAAGAAGAAAGUACAGUCCUAGACAUGGAGAUGAUAUAAUUGUUGAUGCCUAGAUGAUGAUAUACUAUGAAGAAGAUGUUUACAGCAAAGACCCCGAAAAUGGAGCCAUUGACGAAGACCAGGAGAAGAAAAUUAAAGGGAAGUAUAUUUCAUUUUAAUCUUAUAAAUAUGAUCUAAUUAUAAUGUUAGUUUUUAUUACAGUAGCAGGCCUUACCAAGUUUCAGUCAAAGAACAUGAAGAUUAGAGAUGAGUAGCAUAUACUAUGAAGAAGAUGUUUACAGCAUAGACCCUGAAAAUAGAGCCAUUGGCGAAGACCAGGACAAGAUGCUUAAAGUAGCAGGCCUUACCAAGUUUCAGUCGCAGAAGAUGAAGAUUAUUUCAUUGAAAAUUGGAGAUAAAUAACAUCUCCAAGGAAGAUUAAUUAUUACAUUAAUCUUCACCCAAGUCUGAGGCCAUGACAUGAAAGAAAUAACGCAAGUUAUUUUAGUGCCAAAGUUUUCAUGAAUGGGGAGUAAGACUUGGUGGUAUAAUAUUUCUAAUAUACAAGCUAGCAAUAAUUACUGCUUUUCAGUACGGGUUGAGGUUUAGAAUGAUCAUUGGAGCUGACUUUUAAGGUUAUUGCAGUGACUGUUUUCAUGGAUGGAGAGUAAAACUUGGUGGUCUGAUACGGCUAUAUAUUAAUGAAAAUUUGGAUCCUUUUGGCUGGAAAGAUUGUCAGGAACCUGAAGAAACUGAAUCCACAAUAAACAUAUGUACACAAACAGAAAAAUAACAACACUGGUUGAUACAAUUCUAGGAACCGGAAGAAGUUAAAAGUUUGACUUGCAACGGAAAAUCCGGGAAACAUGUCUUUUACUGAACAGUAUGAGAGAGCAAUGAUGAUUAUUGGAUUUAAACUGCUUGGAAAAUAUAACCAAAUGAAGACGAAAAAUGCACUGCAUCAACAAACAAAACAACUACUGAAAGAUUGGGAUUCUAAAAACAAUUGUUCAAAAUCUUCUACAAGUUUAAGACUGUACAUACAUGUAUAUAUAUAUAUAUAUUUAUAUAAGAAAGAAAAAAGUUUCAAGCACAUGCAUUAUUUUGUGUACAUAAAUGUAA